GGGCCCACCGGGGGGAUGCCGUGGUCACGAAGGCGGUUUUCCGCGGCGAGCCUUUGUCCACUGCGGUUUUCCCGAAGGUGGGAAACUCGACCUCAUAAUCUGCGGUCGUGGGGACCGGUUCGCGCCCUCCCUG
rnacentral:snRNA from 1 species